rnacentral:rRNA from 1 species
AGAGUUUGAUCAUGGCUCAGGAUGAACGCUAGCUACAGGCUUAACACAUGCAAGUCGAGGGGCAGCAUGGUCUUAGCUUGCUAAGGCCGAUGGCGACCGGCGCACGGGUGAGUAACACGUAUCCAACCUGCCGUCUACUCUUGGACAGCCUUCUGAAAGGAAGAUUAAUACAAGAUGGCAUCAUGAGUCCGCAUGUUCACAUGAUUAAAGGUAUUCCGGUAGACGAUGGGGAUGCGUUCCAUUAGAUAGUAGGCGGGGUAACGGCCCACCUAGUCUUCGAUGGAUAGGGGUUCUGAGAGGAAGGUCCCCCACAUUGGAACUGAGACACGGUCCAAACUCCUACGGGAGGCAGCAGUGAGGAAUAUUGGUCAAUGGGCGAGAGCCUGAACCAGCCAAGUAGCGUGAAGGAUGACUGCCCUAUGGGUUGUAAACUUCUUUUAUAAAGGAAUAAAGUCGGGUAUGCAUACCCGUUUGCAUGUACUUUAUGAAUAAGGAUCGGCUAACUCCGUGCCAGCAGCCGCGGUAAUACGGAGGAUCCGAGCGUUAUCCGGAUUUAUUGGGUUUAAAGGGAGCGUAGAUGGAUGUUUAAGUCAGUUGUGAAAGUUUGCGGCUCAACCGUAAAAUUGCAGUUGAUACUGGAUAUCUUGAGUGCAGUUGAGGCAGGCGGAAUUCGUGGUGUAGCGGUGAAAUGCUUAGAUAUCGCGAAGAACUCCGAUUGCGAAGGCAGCCUGCUAAGCUGCAACUGACAUUGAGGCUCGAAAGUGUGGGUAUCAAACAGGAUUAGAUACCCUGGUAGUCCACACGGUAAACGAUGAAUACUCGCUGUUUGCGAUAUACAGCAAGCGGCCAAGCGAAAGCGUUAAGUAUUCCACCUGGGGAGUACGCCGGCAACGGUGAAACUCAAAGGAAUUGACGGGGGCCCGCACAAGCGGAGGAACAUGUGGUUUAAUUCGAUGAUACGCGAGGAACCUUACCCGGGCUUAAAUUGCAGAUGAAUUACGGUGAAAGCCGUAAGCCGCAAGGCAUCUGUGAAGGUGCUGCAUGGUUGUCGUCAGCUCGUGCCGUGAGGUGUCGGCUUAAGUGCCAUAACGAGCGCAACCCUUGUUGUCAGUUACUAACAGGUCAUGCUGAGGACUCUGACAAGACUGCCAUCGUAAGAUGUGAGGAAGGUGGGGAUGACGUCAAAUCGGCACGGCCCUUACGUCCGGGGCUACACACGUGUUACAAUGGGGGGUACAGAGGGCCGCUACCACGCGAGUGGAUGCCAAUCCCCAAAACCUCUCUCAGUUCGGACUGGAGUCUGCAACCCGACUCCACGAAGCUGGAUUCGCUAGUAAUCGCGCAUCAGCCACGGCGCGGUGAAUACGUUCCCGGGCCUUGUACACACCGCCCGUCAAGCCAUGGGAGCCGGGGGUACCUGAAGUGCGUAACCGCGAGGAGCGCCCUAGGGUAAAACUGGUGACUGGGGCUAAGUCGUAACAAGGUA